CCGCAGCCGAUCCGCCUGUCCAGACAUUUUCGUCGGGCGAACGCCGCCGCCGGAAGCGUCCAAUGCGCAGCGGCGGACGACAGCCAAUCAGGAGGCACCAGUUCCGGUCGCUAUGCAUGCUGGUCUAUCACGCGCGGGCCGGCGGACCUUUUCGUGUCCUGUGCAAUCGCGUUGGUGUUACCGUGUUCUGUGUUGCCGUGUUUCCACGUGUUUGCGCCGAUCGAAGUACCCAACAUGAACUCGGAGGAAUCGAGAGAGGCAAUAGAAGUGGCGCCUAGGCUCAAUUUAAAAUCGGCGCGGCUACAAUAUAAUGAUAAACUGAUAUCAGCCGUUCAGAAGCGCCCCACAAUAUGGGAUUGCAGGAGGACCGACUACAAAAAUCAGAGAAAAAAGACAGCUGCGUGGGAGGAUGUCGUCGCUGAGAUCGGUCGCGACCCAGAAGGUUCCACUGCCCAAGCUCGUUGGAAGAGCUUGAGAGACACGUUCUCCAAGAAACACCGCACCUGGAAAACAGCACUACAAGCAAUCUCCCGCAAGCUGAGCCAGAGAAUGCAGAAGCCCUCCUGAUGAGCAUGUGUCGCCAAGUCGAAUACACACAAGACGAAUCUGGAUCCCAUGGCAGUGAGUCGCCUGUGCCUGGGACUUCCAGCACGACUGAUGAAAAGACGCCAGUUGAAGCAUGCCGUAGUGUUACUCCAAAGAAAACACCAGCAGUCACGGUGAAAAGAAAGCGACAGAGACUUGAUAAAGAAAUUUCAAGUGUAGACAACAUCCUUAAAAAAGAUGAAGAUGAGCCUGCCGUACUUGGGCAGCUAGUCGCGCAUAGAUUGAGAAAUUUCCCUAAACGACAGCAGUCAGAAUUACAAGUUGAAAUACUACAGUUGCUGAACAUGCACGACUACAGUUGGAAAUAAAGUUUUCACACCUGUUUGUUCUGCUACCUUGUCAUGUUGCACACUUAUAGUCAAUGUUUCUGGCACAGUCAGUAUCUCCUGCAACAGAGCUGCCCAACGUAUGGCGCAGAAGUUCUCACACGUAAAGUACAUCAGUUAUAAAAAUUAA